rnacentral:pre_miRNA from 15 species
ACUACAAAGCAAAAUGGUUCAAAAAACGUUCGGGCUUCCAUCUCUUUCCCAGCCUACAUCUCAACCUGGGCUGGCAAGAAAUGGCAGUCUACACGUUUUUCAACCAAAUGCUAUGGCCUUUUU